CAGGCGCCUCCCUUCGCUCUUGGUAGCGUCGGUCCGCACUCCCUGUGACCCAGGACGUCAUGAUGCCUUCCCUGUUUUCUUAAUGAUAACUUGGCAGAAGAGGAGACAGGCUGCCGGGUUCUCCUCGGGUGGCUGCAUGGGUGGAUGAAGGGCAGAAAAUCAGUCAAUCAUGCUACUGAGAAUCCAGACACCUACAUUUAAAGGCAGGCCAAGAUUAGUGAUGGCUCCCUGCUCUCCAUGCUUCCUGGCUGCUCAUCUGCCUUCUUCACUGGGGUCCCCUCUCUGUUUCUCUCUCUAUCUCAAGCCUGAGAGGUACGAAUCCUACCAACCCCACCGAGCAUGGGGGAAGCUGAGACUCCAGGAGUCACAUGACUAAGUGGAGACUGUGCUGCUAGGGAGUGGCUAGUGAAAGAUAUGAACUCAAGAUACAUGGUUCCUGAGACCCUCACCACCACACCAACCUUCUUAAUACAGUCAUGAGAUGGUCUAGGACCCAGCAGAAGUUCAUCCCUCUGAGUGACUGCAGUUACUGGAAACCUGUCAGAGCUGCGGUUCUCACAUUAUAGACGUGACUGCAGAGUCCAGCUGCAUACGCAACAGACUUACCACGGCCAGUCAUCGAAAUCGAUACGAUUGGACUUUCUGUCACAUGAUGCUCAAUUCUAAUUCUCAUCCUUAAGACUGACAAGAAGGAUUCUGGCCAGAUGGCACCAUGUAUGAAGGUGCCUCCCACCAAAGCUUGAGUUUGAUCCCUGGGACUCAUAUUGUAAAAGGUGUAAGUAGAGAACCGAUUCCCAGAAGCUGUUCUCUGCACUUUGUAUGUGCACAGAGGCACGUGUGUACAUGUAUGUGUACAAGCACAAUAA